rnacentral:rRNA from 1 species
GACGAACGCUGGCGGCGUGCUUAACACAUGCAAGUCGAACGGAAAGGCCCUGCUUUUGUGGGGUGCUCGAGUGGCGAACGGGUGAGUAACACGUGAGUAACCUGCCCUUGACUUUGGGAUAACUUCAGGAAACUGGGGCUAAUACCGGAUAGGAGCUCCUGCUGCAUGGUGGGGGUUAGAAAGUUUCGGCGGUUGGGGAUGGACUCGCGGCUUAUCAGCUUGUUGGUGGGGUAGUGGCUUACCAAGGCUUUGACGGGUAGCCGGCCUGAGAGGGUGACCGGCCACAUUGGGACUGAGAUACGGCCCAGACUCCUACGGGAGGCAGCAGUGUGGAAUAUUGCACAAUGGGCGGAAGCCUGAUGCAGCAACGCCGCGUGCGGGAUGACGGCCUUCGGGUUGUAAACCGCUUUCGCCUGUGACGAAGCGUGAGUGACGGUAAUGGGUAAAGAAGCACCGGCUAACUACGUG